AUUGAACGCUGGCUGCAUGCCUUACACAUGCAAGUCGAACGGCAGCACGGGAGCAAUCCUGGUGGCGAGUGGCGAACGGGUGAGUAAAGUAUCGGAACGUGCCCAGUCGUGGGGGAUAACGUAGCGAAAGUUACGCUAAUACCGCAUACGAUCUAUGGAUGAAAGCGGGGGAUCGCAAGACCUCGCGCGAUUGGAGCGGCCGAUAUUAGAUUAGGUAGUUGGUGGGGUAAAGGCUCACCAAGCCGACGAUCUGUAGCUGGUCUGAGAGGACGACCAGCCACACUGGGACUGAGACACGGCCCAGACUCCUACGGGAGGCAGCAGUGGGGAAUUUUGGACAAUGGGCGAAAGCCUGAUCCAGCCAUGCCGCGUGCAGGAUGAAGGCCUUCGGGUUGUAAACUGCUUUUGUACGGAACGAAAAGGUUUGGCCUAAUAAGCUGAGCUCAUGACGGUACCGUAAGAAUAAGCACCGGCUAACUACGUGCCAGCAGCCGCCGUAA
rnacentral:rRNA from 1 species